UUGAGCUGGAUGAGGGGAAACUCUCACGUCCAGUUCUGAGGGGAGGGGGUGGCGGUAACGCCACCUCCUUACCCGGC
rnacentral:ncRNA from 1 species